rnacentral:rRNA from 1 species
UGGGGAAUAUUGCACAGUGGGCGCAAGCCUGAUGCAGCCAUGCCGCGUGUGUGAAGAAGGCCUUCGGGUUGUAAAGCACCUUCAGCGAGGAGGAAGGUGGUGAGCUUAAUACGCUCAUCAAUUGACGUUACUCGCAGAAGAAGCACCGGCUAACUCCGUGCCAGCAGCCGCGGUAAUACGGAGGGUGCAAGCGUUAAUCGGAAUUACUGGGCGUAAAGCGCACGCAGGCGGUUUGUUAAGUCAGAUGUGAAAUCCCCGGGCUCAACCUGGGAACUGCAUUUGAAACUGGCAAGCUAGAGUCUCGUAGAGGGGGGUAGAAUUCCAGGUGUAGCGGUGAAAUGCGUAGAGAUCUGGAGGAAUACCGGUGGCGAAGGCGGCCCCCUGGACGAAGACUGACGCUCAGGUGCGAAAGCGUGGGGCAGCAAACAGGAUUAGAUACCCUGGUAGUCCACGCUGUAAACGAUGUCGAUUUUGGAGGUUGUGCCCUUGAGGCGUGGCUUCCGGAGCUAACGCGUUAAUCGACCGCCUGGGGAGUACGGCCGCAA